UUCGACAAGUGGGGAGUAGUUCUCGACAAAGGAAGGCCAGCCAAUUAGGGUGGCAUUUCUAUGAUGGACCGGAUAUGUUCUUUUAGAGUAGCUUUUCUGGCUUCUCUCUCGACGGCCACGGCAUCUUUGAAGGCUCCUUUUGGUGAGAUCUUCACCACUAGCUUAAAAAGAAGCAAGGGAAGGCUUUUCUUAGGGAUAACGUUUCAGAGUUCCUGAUGACCCUGAAAUUUGACAGGCAAAAGAAAGCGUUCUUCUUUCCUUUUUGAGUUUUUGAGUUCUUGUACCUCCUUAUCACCUAAGGUUUAUGAUGUACUUUGAUCUGGUUCAUUUCCUAUUUCACAUGCCACAGGCCAAAACUAAUUGGUUUAGAGUUGUGGCUAUUGUCGUAGGUUAGAUUAAGGCAACUCUCAACGGGAGGCCCAUUAGGCCCUUAUAGGGCAUGAAUUGAUUUAAGAGCCCAGUUGCCAUGACAAGGAAUUUCAGUACUUUUGUUGCAUAUUUUAUGAACUUAAGUAACUGAAAAUUCAAUUGUUUUUUAUUUUGCAUCAUGAAUAUAUUUGUUACGGGAAAGUUGAAGUAUGGCAUUUUGAGGGCCUGUUUGGAUAA
rnacentral:lncRNA from 1 species